AUCCUGGCUCAGAUUGAACGCUGGCGGAAUGCUUUACACAUGCAAGUCGAACGGCAGCACGGACUUCGGUCUGGUGGCGAGUGGCGAACGGGUGAGUAAUACAUCGGAACGUACCUUAUCGUGGGGGAUAACGCAGCGAAAGCUGUGCUAAUACCGCAUACGCCCUGAGGGGGAAAGCGGGGGAUCGAAAGACCUCGCGCGAUUAGAGCGGCCGAUGCCUGAUUAGCUUGUUGGUGGGGUAAAAGCCCACCAAGGCGACGAUCAGUAGCUGGUCUGAGAGGACGAUCAGCCACACUGGGACUGAGACACGGACCCGACUCCUACGGGAGGCAGCAGUAAGGAAUAUUGGACAAUGGAGGGAACUCUGAUCCAGCCAUGCCGCGUGAAGGAUGAAGGCGCUCAGCGUUGUAAACUUCUUUUGGAUGGGAACAAUAACUUCUACGUGUAGGAGCUUGAGGGUACCAUCAGAAUAAGCACCGGCUAACUCCGUG
rnacentral:rRNA from 1 species